rnacentral:tRNA from 1 species
GCUUAAGUAGUUUAAAUAAAAUAAUGAUUUGUGGUAUCAUUGAUGUAGAUUUUACCUUAGGUU